rnacentral:rRNA from 1 species
UACGGAGGGGGGCUAGCGUUGUUCGGAAUUACUGGGCGUAAAGCGCGCGUAGGCGGCUUGACAAGUCGAGUGUGAAAUCCCCGGGCUUAACCUGGGAGCUGCAUUCGAAACUGUCUUGCUAGAGUAUGGGAGAGGGAGGUGGAAUUUCAGGUGUAGCGGUGAAAUGCGUAGAUAUCUGAAGGAACAUCAGUGGCGAAAGCGACCUCCUGGACCAAUACUGACGCUCAGGUGCGAAAGCGUGGGGAGCAAACAGG